AUAGGAAGAAAACCCGCUGGGUUGCUCAUCCUGUCACUUGUCCCCAGUCACAGGGUAUAUGUGUGUUUCAACUUCACGUAUAUAAAUCCCUGCUUGUUAAAGUCGAUAAUAAAUAAUUGUCAAAACAUGGCACCAAGCUGGGAAGACUAUUUUGCACCGUCUGUGUUGCAGAAUAUUGAAAAGGUCAUCAAUAUACGUUUUCUAUGCGUUGGUCGUAGAGUAGGUUCAGGUGUUUUAGGGAUGGUUUUAGUACAGCAUUUUCUAUCCGUUGUGGCAACUGGAGAGGCGGGGCUAGGCUGCUGACACCAUAAGGUGCCAGAUAUAAACAGGGACUCAUGGUUUGACGUCACAGUCAUUGAGCAGCACUCUUAAGGCCAACACCUUCAGCUCUCUUCCCAUCAUGCGCCUCCUUUCUUUAUUGAUCCUGGUGGCCGCCCUCAGUCUAUUUGAGGCCUACGCUGAGCUCCGGCACUCUCGUGAGGCUGCUAAUACAAGGCCUCUUCCAGGGAAACUGUCAAAGUCACUUCCUCCCUCAGUAACACCUCUGUCAUCUUCUCGACGAUCCUCUGCAGGACAUCUUUCUACCAACGAAAGAUGGAACGGCAGUAAGGAGUCCUGCCUGACCUGUGACAAGCUCACCAUCCGUCAGCGGGGUGUGUGUUGUCGGCGGUGGGGCUCCUGCUGCUAGUGGGGCUUCUGCUGGAGCUCCUGCUGGUGGUGGAGCUUCUGCUGGUGGUGGAGCUCCUGCUGGUGUUGGAGCUCCUGCUGCUGGUAGAGGGGGCUCCUGCUGCUUCUGGAGGUCCUUCUGCUGCUAGUGGGGCUUCUACUGGAGCUCCUGCUGGUGGUGGAGCUCCUGCUGCUGGUAGAGGGGGGCUCCUGCUGCUAGUGGGGCUUCUGCUGGUGGUGGAGUUCCUGCUGCCGGCGGGACUUUGCUAUUGCUAGAACUCCUACUGCUAGUGACGACCCAUCACCGUAAGAUGUCCCAACACACCUCCCCAGCAGAGGUGUGUUGGCCAAACAUUGCAUGGCGCCCUCGACCAUUCACUGAACCAAAAACACGCUAUGAGAAAAGCUGACUUCCCUCUUGUACGCUAUGACUGAAGCACAGUGGAUCAUGUUUCUUAGGUGUCACUCCUGUUAAUUAAUUUAGUCCCUAAGAAAUGGUAUUGAUUAAAGCGUGAUUACA